CUUUGAGGUUCUUUAGCAAUGAGCCAUCGUCAAGAACUUCCGGGUUCUGAGCAAGCGAGCCAGCAUUGAGAACUACAAAGUUCACUUCUGAACUUUAAAGACCUUACGAGCAUCGAAAACUUUCGUACUCUAUGCCGGUGAGCCUGCAUCGAGAAUUACAGAGUUCUCUACUGAACCCUAAAGCCUUGCUAGCAUGAAGAACUUCGGUUUCUCUACCAGCGAGCAAGCAUCGAGAACCACAAAGUUCUCUGUUGAACCCCAA
rnacentral:lncRNA from 1 species